GGAGCGGGCGGGGGGCGGCGCUGGGGAGAACAAAGGGCCGAGCGGGGCCGGGGCUGGGCCAUUGCAGGGCGCUGCCGCCUCCCUCCCUCCGCCCCGAGCCGGGGCUGAGCCGCUGCUGCUCCCACGGGCGGGGCCGGGGAGACCUUCGCUGCAGCUGGGACUAGCCCCGGGCCCGGCUCUGCCGGCACCAGCUCCGGCCCGGAGACCCAGAAUAACAUCCACAUUUUGCUCCGGAUCAUCCCAUCCUCCCAGGGGAAAGGAAAUGGUGUCAGUGGAGCUGGUUCAGGGGCUGGUGACCUUUGAGGAGCUGGCUGUGUACUUCACGGAGGGGGAAUGGGCU